rnacentral:snoRNA from 1 species
UGUCUCCUUAUAAGGGAGACACAAAUAAGUGUCUCCUUUUAUAAGGAGAGAAAUAAGUGUCUCCUUAUAAGGGAGACACAAAUAAGUGUCUCCUUUUAUAAGGAGAGAAAUAAGU